rnacentral:rRNA from 1 species
AUGGCUCUGAUGCUUAUUGCACCACAUGUGUUUUUUAUUGAACAAAUUUCUUUGGUGGCGGGAGCAAUCCUACCGCCAGAGGUUAUAACUAAACCAAACUUUUUAUUUACAGUCAAACUUGAUUUAUUAUUACAAUAGUCAAAACUUUCAACAACGGAUCUCUUGGUUCUCGCAUCGAUGAAGAACGCAGCGAAAUGCGAUACGUAAUAUGAAUUGCAGAUAUUCGUGAAUCAUCGAAUCUUUGAACGCACAUUGCGCCCUUUGGUAUUCCAAAGGGCAUGCCUGUUUGAGCGUCAUUUCUCCCUCAAACCCCCGGGUUUGGUGUUGAGCAAUACGCUAGGUUUGUUUGAAAGAAUUUAACGUGGAAACUUAUUUUAAGCGACUUAGGUUUAUCCAAAACGCUUAUUUUGCUAGUGGCCACCACAAUUUAUUUCAUAACUUUGACCUCAAAUCAGGGAGGACUACCCGCUGAACUUAAGCAUAUCAAAAACCGGGAGGGAA